UACGAAGGGGGCUAGCGUUGCUCGGAAUCACUGGGCGUAAAGCGCACGUAGGCGGCUUGUUAAGUCAGGGGUGAAAUCCUGGAGCUCAACUCCAGAACUGCCUUUGAUACUGGCGAUCUCGAGUCCGGGAGAGGUGAGUGGAACUGCGAGUGUAGAGGUGAAAUUCGUAGAUAUUCGCAAGAACACCAGUGGCGAAGGCGGCUCACUGGCCCGAUACUGACGCUGAGGCACGAAAGCGUGGGGAGCAAACAGG
rnacentral:rRNA from 1 species